UACGGGGGGGGCAAGCGUUGUUCGGAAUUACUGGGCGUAAAGGGCUCGUAGGCGGCCAACUAAGUCAGACGUGAAAUCCCUAGGCUCAACCUAGGAACUGCGUCUGAUACUGGAUGGCUUGAAUCCGGGAGAGGGAUGCAGAAUUCCAGGUGUAGCGGUGAAAUGCGUAGAUAUCUGGAGGAAUACCGGUGGCGAAGGCGGCAUCCUGGACCGGCAUUGACGCUGAUGCGCGAAAGCCAGGGGAGCAAACGGG
rnacentral:rRNA from 1 species